CAUGCAAGUCGAGGGGAAACGACAUCGAAAGCUUGCUUUUGAUGGGCGUCGACCGGCGCACGGGUGAGUAACGCGUAUCCAACCUGCCCAUCACUUGGGGAUAACCUUGCGAAAGUAAGACUAAUACCCAAUGACGUCUCUAGAAGACAUCUGAAAGAGAUUAAAGAUUUAUCGGUGAUGGAUGGGGAUGCGUCUGAUUAGCUUGUUGGCGGGGUAACGGCCCACCAAGGCGACGAUCAGUAGGGGUUCUGAGAGGAAGGUCCCCCACAUUGGAACUGAGACACGGUCCAAACUCCUACGGGAGGCAGCAGUGAGGAAUAUUGGUCAAUGGACGAGAGUCUGAACCAGCCAAGUAGCGUGCAGGAUGACGGCCCUAUGGGUUGUAAACUGCUUUUAUAAGGGAAUAAAGUUAGUCUCGUGAGACUUUUUGCAUGCACCUUAUGAAUAAGGACCGGCUAAUUCCGUGCCAGCAGCCGCGGUAAUACGGAAGGUCCGGGCGUUAUCCGGAUUUAUUGGGUUUAAAGGGAGCGUAGGCCGGAGAUUAAGCGUGUUGUGAAAUGUAGACGCUCAACGUCUGCACUGCAGCGCGAACUGGUUUCCUUGAGUACGCACAAAGUGGGCGGAAUUCGUGGUGUAGCGGUGAAAUGCUUAGAUAUCACGAAGAACUCCGAUUGCGAAGGCAGCUCACUGGAGCGCAACUGACGCUGAAGCUCGAAAGUGCGGGUAUCGAACAGGAUUAGAUACCCUGGUAGUCCGCACGGUAA
rnacentral:rRNA from 1 species